CAACCAAGGCUUGUUGAGGGAAAGGAGGGUGAAAAUGGCAGCAGAGCAAAAGGAUCCUAGGCUUACCUCUUCCCAAAGGCACAACUAGAAACAAGGACAUCAGUGAUACUGUAUCACCUCCCACUUGGCUCCUACCCUCCUCCCAAUAUGGCUUCCCAAGCUGAUCCACAACAGAUUUGUUGCCUGGGAUAUAAAGUACUGUUCCUAGACUGUGACCUACAGAAAGGCACUGAUGCACCAACCAUGGGAUUCUGGCUUUCAGUGAAAUGAAGAUUUUAUUUAGCCACCUGAGAGUGAAAGAGAGAGAAAGCACACUGAGGGAGAGGGAGAAGCAGACACCCCACCAAGCAGGGAGCCUGACACAGGGCUCAAUCAUGACCAGAACCAAAUGUAGACACGACAGACUGAACCACCCAGAUGCCCCAG